AUCCAACUGACAAGUCUCAAAUAGGACGAAACGCGCGUCCUGGAC
rnacentral:hammerhead_ribozyme from 1 species